AUUGAACGCUGGCGGCAUGCUUUACACAUGCAAGUCGAACGGUAACAGCACUUCGGUGGCUGACGAGUGGCAAACGGGUGAGUAAUACAUCGGAACGUGCCUAGUAGUGGGGGAUAACUACUCGAAAGAGUAGCUAAUACCGCAUGAGAUCUAAGGAUGAAAGCAGGGGACCUUCGGGCCUUGCGCUACUAGAGCGGCUGAUGGCAGAUUAGGUAGUUGGUGGGAUAAAAGCUUACCAAGCCGACGAUCUGUAGCUGGUCUGAGAGGACGACCAGCCACACUGGGACUGAGACACGGCCCAGACUCCUACGGGAGGCAGCAGUGGGGAAUUUUGGACAAUGGGCGCAAGCCUGAUCCAGCAAUGCCGCGUGCAGGAUGAAGGCCUUCGGGUUGUAAACUGCUUUUGUACGGAACGAAAAGCCCUCUUCUAAUACAGGAGGGUCAUGACGGUACCGGAAGAAUAAGCACCGGCUAACUACGUG
rnacentral:rRNA from 1 species